GAGGGCAUCGACGAGUUUGCGACGGACAAAGAGAAUAUCGAGGCCUACUUGCGUAUUCAUAACAAACCAUCACCGCAGUUCAUCCGAGAGAUUGC
rnacentral:ribozyme from 1 species